rnacentral:rRNA from 1 species
UACGAAGGGAGCUAGCGUUGUUCGGAAUCACUGGGCGUAAAGCGCACGUAGGCGGAUGUGUCAGUCAGGGGUGAAAUCCCGGAGCUCAACUUCGGAACUGCCUUUGAUACAGCACGUCUUGAGUCCGAUAGAGGUGGGUGGAAUUCCUAGUGUAGAGGUGAAAUUCGUAGAUAUUAGGAAGAACACCCGUGGCGAAGGCGGUUCUCUGGGACGGUACUGACGCUGAGACGCGAAAGCGUGGGGAGCGAACAGG